UCUCUAAGUAGUUGGAUCACAAACAUACAUGAAUCCUCUCCUCCCCCAAAGUUCCAAACCCCUAGACCCCCAUUCCAAAUGAAGGAUAGGGCAGCAAUUUUUUAUCAAACCCAUGAAACCCACCCAACCCUAAUGGGUCAAACCCAUUUGUUUAGUUUCGGGUCGUUGUAGGUCGGUUAACCCAAUAAGCACGGGGUUUAACGGAUUGGGUGGGUUGGGUAAUGGUUAACCAUUAAACCCAUCAAGGAGCAGAGACAAUGCGCAAUACAGAGAAGUGGAGAACGAGAAGAGGAAAGAAUGGAAUAUAGGGUUUAGUAGAGACCACUCGAUCAAUACAAUGAUUUAGGCUAUCGGACAACGAAGAGGGAAGAAUGAAUUUUAGGGUUUAUCAAAGAUCAAUACGGUGAUUUAGGUUGCCAUCUCAGGUACUUCAGUCUCUACAGUUGAUUCAGAAGCUGCAUUUAGUGGUGGAGGUAGAAUUUUAGAGCAAUAUCGCAAUUCCCUUCUUCUAGAAAAUGUUGAAGUUCUAGUUUGUACACAAGAUUGGUUGUUUGGUUCGGAAGAGGAUGAAACGGAGAGGUGGAUCUAUGGAAUUAGUUUUGGGAUUUUGUUUUAGGAUUUCCUCAUUGAGUAACUCUUAGAUAUGCAAAAUGUAGCAAUUGGACCUAAAAUUCUCAUAAUUUGGAUUGAAUUUUUUGUUUAAUUGGACCCUAAUAGUGCAUUAUGCUAUUGCUGCAUUGCAAAAUAUUUGGUUUUAGAUAUUUGCUUGCUGGUUUUACCUAAUGUGUUUUUUUUUUUUUUUUGUUUAGAAGUCAGCACAUAUUGCUUGUCAAUUUGAUAGUGGUCAUUGAUCAUUGAUCUUCUUCAUCAUUGGUCUCUAGUUUUCCAAUUUUGCUUGGAUUUGUUGGGUUUCUUAUUGAUAGGAUUUAGAAAAUGGUUAUGAAGUUGAUGUUUUUAAUUUGAGAUACAUGGCAUCAUAGCACAUUAAGCAUGAUAUUGUAAGUUUUUUGUUGCAUUGCAGGAGUUGGGGGAUAAUAUCCUUGACCAUAGCCUACUUUUGGCAACUUUACCCUCUGUGGAUUCUAGUCUAGCUGCAUGAGGCAAUUCUUGGGAAGAGGGUUUGAAUGCUAUUCUAGACCAUCGUGCUGAGGUUUUUAUUAUUGAGCUUGGACGUUCUAAAAGAGCAAUUGGGAGGUUGAAAGGGAUGAUAAGAAAAAACAAGAGUUUACAUACUAGUCAUGGUCAUAAGAAGAAACAAGAGUUGUAAUGUUAGGGAAAUCCAUUAUUAGGUUAGAGGGAGAAAUCAAAGUUAGCUUUGGCUAUCAAUGCAAUAGAAAAGAAAGGAAACCUGUUGAAGUUUACAAUGGAUAUUAAAUCCCAUCUAAAUCCAAACUCCGAAGGGCAAUUCGAGAGUAUACAGGGCAGUUCAGGAAUACAUGCUACAACUGUUGUAAUGUUGUAAUUUUCACAGUAAUACUUUUUUUUUUACAUGUAUAGAAAUGACAAAAAUGAAAGUUUCAAUUUCUAUUUUUCAAUUUUUAUGUAAUUCUUAUCAAUUUUACGCA